rnacentral:sRNA from 1 species
GCCAGGUAUGGAGGUGUGUACCUGUAAUUCUAGCUACUCAGGAGGCUGUUGCAGGAGGAUUGCGUGGGCCUGGAAAUUCAAGGCCAGCCUGGGUAACAUAGUGAUACCCUUUCUCUU